rnacentral:rRNA from 1 species
UGCAAGUCGAACGAUGAACAGGAGCUUGCUUCUGGGAUUAGUGGCGAACGGGUGAGUAACACGUGAGUAACCUGCCCUUGACUCUGGGAUAAGCGUUGGAAACGACGUCUAAUACCGGAUAUGACCCCUACCGGCAUCGGUUGGGGGUGGAAAGAUUUUUUGGUCAAGGAUGGACUCGCGGCCUAUCAGGUAGUUGGUGAGGUAAUGGCUCACCAAGCCGACGACGGGUAGCCGGCCUGAGAGGGUGACCGGCCACACUGGGACUGAGACACGGCCCAGACUCCUACGGGAGGCAGCAGUGGGGAAUAUUGCACAAUGGGCGAAAGCCUGAUGCAGCAACGCCGCGUGAGGGACGACGGCCUUCGGGUUGUAAACCUCUUUUAGUAGGGAAGAAGGGAGCUUGCUCUUGACGGUACCUGCAGAAAAAGCACCGGCUAACUACGUGCCAGCAGCCGCGGUAAUACGUAGGGUGCAAGCGUUGUCCGGAAUUAUUGGGCGUAAAGAGCUCGUAGGCGGUUUGUCGCGUCUGCUGUGAAAUCUGGGGGCUCAACCCCCAGCCUGCAGUGGGUACGGGCAGACUAGAGUGCGGUAGGGGAGAUUGGAAUUCCUGGUGUAGCGGUGGAAUGCGCAGAUAUCAGGAGGAACACCGAUGGCGAAGGCAGAUCUCUGGGCCGUAACUGACGCUGAGGAGCGAAAGCAUGGGGAGCGAACAGGAUUAGAUACCCUGGUAGUCCAUGCCGUAAACGUUGGGAACUAGAUGUAGGGGCCAUUCCACGGUUUCUGUGUCGCAGCUAACGCAUUAAGUUCCCCGCCUGGGGAGUACGGCCGCAAGGCUAAAACUCAAAGGAAUUGACGGGGGCCCGCACAAGCGGCGGAGCAUGCGGAUUAAUUCGAUGCAACGCGAAGAACCUUACCAAGGCUUGACAUAUACCGGAAACGUCCAGAGAUGGUCGCCCCGCAAGGUCGGUAUACAGGUGGUGCAUGGUUGUCGUCAGCUCGUGUCGUGAGAUGUUGGGGUUAAGUCCCGCAACGAG